GACGAACGCUGGCGGCGUGCUUAACACAUGCAAGUCGAGCGGAAAGGCCACUUCGGUGGUACUCGAGCGGCGAACGGGUGAGUAACACGUGAGUAAUCUGCCCCUGGCUUUGGGAUAGCCACCGGAAACGGUGAUUAAUACCGGAUACGACCACUUCCCGCCUGGGAUGGUGGUGGAAAGUUUUUUCGGCCAGGGAUGUGCUCGCGGCCUAUCAGCUUGAUGGUGAGGUAAUGGCUCACCAUGGCUUCGACGGGUAGCCGGCCUGAGAGGGUGACCGGUCACACUGGGACUGAGACACGGCCCAGACUCCUACGGGAGGCAGCGGUGGGGAAUAUUGGACAAUGGGCGGAAGCCUGAUCCAGCAACGCCGCGUGAGGGAUGACGGCUUUCGGGUUGUAAACCUCUUUCAGCAGGGACGAAGCGCAAGUGACGGUACCUGCAGAAGAAGCACCGGCCAACUACGUGCCAGCCGCCGCAGUAA
rnacentral:rRNA from 1 species